rnacentral:misc_RNA from 1 species
GAUGAAGAACGUAGCGAAAUGCGAUACUUGGUGUGAAUUGCAGAAUCCCGCGAAUCAUCGAGUUUUUGAACGCAAGUUGCGCCCGAAGCCAUUCGGCCGAGGGCACGUCUGCCUGGGUGUCACGCAUCGUUGCCCCCCCAAACUCCGGCUCGAGCGGGGCGGAAGUUGGCCUCCCGUGCGUGCCUGCGCGCGCGGUUAGCCCAAAAGCGAGUCCUCGGCGACGAGCGCCACGACAAUCGGUGGUUUUUUUACCCUCGUUCCUCGUCGUGCGUGCCCCGUCGCCCGAACGCGCUCUUGCGACCCUUACGCGUCGCCUCGGCGGCGCUCCCAACGCGACCCCAGGUCAGGCGGGACUACCCGCUGAGUUUAAGCAUAUCAAUAAGCGGAGGA